rnacentral:rRNA from 1 species
AUGACAUUGGAUUUGAGCCCGGGCGUAGAACCACGUAUGGUUUGCCUCCUAGAUAAUGACCCACGGUUGGUGAACAGUCAUGAAACAAUAAUUUACUCCUAUCUUGUCAGGUCCCAUGAUCGAAUGCUCAUGGUGCGGUACCUAUUCGGUAUGAACCUUCUCCAGAAAGGUGGAUACAAUGAAGAGGAUAUAUUCAUGUGGCAGGAUUGCCCAUCCCGUAUGGAGGUGCUUGAGGUAGACCUCCCUAGGAGGAGAUUGGUGACACAACAUGGAAUUGGCAGCCGUUGUGCGGCAUUCGUUGGCGCCUCUUACAUAGUCAUGGUAUCCACUGAGAAAUUCCCUCGAAUAAUUUCCAAUGCGCUGUACCUGAACUAUUCAAUGCAAGGAGUAUUUCGUCAUUUUGCUACCUACUGCUUUGAAGAUCAGACAGCUAUAUCUGCAAGAGACUUUCAAGAUCGUCGAUUUGGCAAAAACUCUCCUUGUGCUUGCCAUUGGGAGGUUGAAGAUUAUCUUAUGUGUGAUGUUGAGAAGGGAUACCGUAUGUAA